GUUACAAGAGUCUGGCUGUACGGCUUGGUUGUAUAUACCUUGGCUGCAUGGUUGACCUGCAGCUAUAAUAUUAUGCCUAAUCACGUCAUCAGCUACUGGGAUGUUCCUGGGUGUGUUUAAAAAGGUGGCCUCAUUUUCCAUGGGAGGAGCCUCCAAGUUUCGUGUCAGAGGCAAACUGCAAGGUCAGCUGGGGGACACCAAGUAGGUAAGGUCAAUCAUUUGUUUUAUUGGCUUGCAUUGUAUUUAUUCACCUUUCUCUUUCUCACAUAGUGGUUAGUCAUAGUAAUAAAAAUAGUCCCAAAACUGUUAGCAUAAUUCAGAGGCAGGUGCUGGUUGGUCCAGCAAUAAAAGUUAACUGCUGACAAUAAAGGCAUACUUGCCAUAAAGCUACAAAAGAAUAAUAAUAAUUUACAGUGGUACCUUGGUUUAUGAACUUAAUCCAUUCUGCGAGUCCAUUCUUAAACUGAAACCAUUCUUAAACUGAGGCACGCUUUCCCUAACGAGGCCUCCCACCGCCGAUGCCCGUCCACCAUUCAGAUUCUGUUCUUAGACUGAGGUAAAGUUUGCAAACCAGGACACUACUUCCGGUUUUGCAGAGUUCAUAAACCGAAUAGUUCGUAAACAGGACUGUUCUUAAACCGGGAUACCACUGUAUUACUUAUUUUAUCUUAUUACUUAACCCAUCUGGCUGGGUUGCUGCAGCCACUCUGGACAGCUUCCAAAACACAGCAAAACAUCAAACAUUAAAAAUUUCCCAAUAUAGGGCUGCGUUCAGAUGUCUUUGGAAGGUUGUGUCAUUGUAUAUCUGUUUGACAUCUGGUGGAAGGGCGUUCCACAGGGUGGGCACCACUACUGAGAAGGCCCUUUGCAUGGUUCCCUGUAACUUCAUUUCUCAUAGUGAGGGAACUGCCAGAAGGCCCUCAGAGCUGGACACAGAGUGUCCGGGCUGAACGAUGGAGGUGGAGAGGUAUGCUGGGCAGAGGCCAUUUAGGGCUUUAAAGGUCAGCACCAACACGGUACUUGGAAACAUACUGGGCAAGGUGUUCUCAGUAGCUGCCCCAGCAUGAGUGCACAUAACUCCUUCUCCUCGCCACCAUUGUUGCUGUCUCUUUGCUUCUCAUCUCUCCCUGGGGCCAGUCUACACUACCUUCCAGAAAGAGAGGGCAAUCAGGCUGCUGAUUUCUCCUUGCUCAUUCACUCGGAGAGGACAACUGAAUAGGCAACAAUAGCAAGAACAGGAAGUUGCAGAGCUAGGAGGCUCUGGGAAUUGGCAAUGGGUCCCUGACUGGGUCAAGGGCCUUGGCAGCAGCUUGGCAAUGCCAUCUCCUGGUGCUGGAGUUCCCACAGGAACUCAUUUCCAGAGGAGGCAGUGAUGACCACCAACCUAGAAGGCUUUAAAAGAAGAUUAGACAAAUCCAUGGAAGAGAAGAUGGCUACAAACCUUGAUGGCUAUGCUCUGCCUCCACUGCUGGAAGCAGCAAUUCUUCUGAAGAAAAGUUGCUGGAAACGACAGGAGGGCAGAGUGCUCUUCUGCUCAAAUCCUUAUUGUGGGUUUCCCACAGACCACUGUGAGAACAGGAUGCUGGACUAGGUGGGCCAUUGGCCUGAUCCAGCAGGCUAUUCUUGCAUCUUUAUGGCUCUGUGUUUGAGGUACUAAUGGAAGCUCAAACAACAGUUUGAAAAGUUUGCAACCUUCCUAGUGCCUAAGGGACCGCACUUUCGGGAACUUUGUCUAGUACAUGUUGGGGGUCUAUAUCCACUGCUUUUUCGGGGGUGAAAGCAGAGUACACAUACCCCUAAACAUUUUGCGAAUCUUUGUACUUUUGUCCAUUUACUGUAUUUAUUUUUCCUGAUUUGAACUAUAAAAUGGCGAUUUUCUUGAGUCAAAAUGAGAGUAAGUACCCCUAAACUUUUUUUUAAAAAAGCACUGUGUGUUUCAAUUGAUUUGUUAAAUCACUUUCCUGUAUCCUUGAGGAAGUGGAAAUAAAUAGAAAUAAAUAAAUACUUCUCAAAUUAUGGAGCAAACAGAGGUGAAAUCAGGUGAGCUUUUCACAUGCCACAUUCAGAUUGCCCUGUUAACAAGGCAUCUUGAAUUGGAUCAAGGAUUGCCUUAAUGCCCUACGCUGCUCUGUGGACUCAUGCACCCCACAAAUGCUGCAUAUCCAAAAGCAACCACUGCAUAUUUUAAAAAGCAAAAUGAAGAUGGUUCUGGAAAUGAGCUUAAGAGGGAAGGGAGUGAAGAGGUGAAAAGAUCUUCCACUUUGAUGGACAGGUGUAGCUUUUAAUCACAAUGAAUGGCUUCCCCAGAGCAAUCCAAUCACAAGGAUUUGGGGAAAGGAUGUUGAAGUAAGUAUUUAAGUGUUAAGAAACACUUUUUAAUAUUUACUUCAGCGUCCCUUCCCCGCAAUAAUGUUCAACCACUACCACCACCUCCUCCUCCCACUAUUCAAGUCAAUGGAAAGAUAUCUCUCUCUCUGGAGCUUAUGGUAACAAUAUCCUUGUUCAGAAUGACAUGUACCCCAUCCAAGUCUUUCCUGGGGAUAUGUUGACCAAACAAUGCUUUCUUAUUGCAUCAAUGAACACAUUAACCAAUAGCACUUGGGUACAAGAGAUAAGGUAAAACACAAAUAGAUUGAUAUGAAACGGAACAAUAUUUUAAUGGUUUUGGAAAGAUAUAGUAAGACGCCAUUCUCCCCCUCCCUUUAUAUAAAUAUUGAAUUAGUGCUGCACUGAUGUUUAGUUUUGGGGUUUGUAUUCUCAAAAUUGGCUUUCCUGUUGCUGUCUGUCUUGCUGAAUAGCAGUUAUUGUGGAAAUUUUUUUUGGGGGGGGGAAUAUGUGAAGGCUCUUGCAAUUAUUAUCUUUGUUUUCAAAAGACUGGAAAGGACACAAAGCAAGUUUGCUUUAAAGGCAGAGGCCUGCAUGUGCCAUAGUAAGCAGUUUUUAUCCAGAGUCUGUACAAUAAGUAUCCAUUCCAUGGUUUGUGCAGCUGCUUCAGAUACACUCUCCUCUGCCAUCAGCACCACCAUGUAACAGAGCACACAUCACCGCUUGAAGUCAGGGAUCUGCCAGAAAAAUCAAGGUGUUGCAUUAUUUGCACGCUUAGAUUCACGUGUUCAUGUUAGGCAUUCCCUCCUUGUGAAUUCCAGUGCAAAUCAACCCAAUUUGCUAAUGCACUCAUGUGAACACAAUGAGCCAGCCUUCAUACUACUCUAAGCUUUGCACCAGCAUUCUCAGCUCCAAAAAUUAUUCCAAAAUAUAUUUUAAACGCAUAUUUUAGGAUAAAAUUCAUUUACACACACACUUUGAGAUAAAAUCAUGUUAUCAAUUUUGUGCUGGGGUCAGUCUCCCCGCAUUCCUAAAUUUAGUAAAUAGUAGAAUUUAGCUAAUAUUUGGAGGGAAAAUGCCAGAUCAGUGAAAAAUACAGGCUGAACCUGGUGCUGUGGUCUAAACCACUGAGCCUCUUGGGCUUGCUGAUCAGAAGGUUGGCGGUUCGAAUCCCUGAGAUGGGGUGAGCUCCUGUUGUUCUGUGCCGGCUUCUGCCAACCUAGCAGUUCGAAAGCACAUCAGUGCAAGUAGAUAAAUAGGUACCACUGCAGCAGGAAGGCAAACAGUGUUUCUGUGCGCUCUGGUUUCUGUCAUGCUGUUCCAUUGCACCAGAAGUGGUUUAGUCCUACUGGCCACAUGACCUGGAAAGCUGUCUGUGGACAAAUGCCAGUUCCCUCAACCUGAAAGUGAGAUGAGUGCCGCAACCCAACAACAACAACAACAACAAUAAUAAUAGCAAUAAUAAUAAUUUAUUGUUUAUACCCCGCCCAUCUGGCUGAGUCUCCCCAGCCACCCUGGGUGGCUUCCAAUCAAGUGUUAAAACAAUACAGCAUCAAAUAUUAAAAACUUCCCUAAACAGGGCUGCCUUUGACUGGACUUAACCAUCCAGGGGUCCUUUACCUUUACCUUUUACCUUGCAGGCUGAACCAGUUAUCCUGUUCAGGAGAUUGUUGACAGUGGCACCAUUAAGAACACAAAGAACGCCAAGUACUGGGCUAUUAAGAACAAUUGACCAUGCUGAAGCUGUUCUUCCCUUGGCUGAAAAGUGGACAGAAAUAACAGAAAUGAGAGGGGCAGGUUGCCUGGGGUAAGACCACAGGAAAAAAGGUGCCCUUUUAAAACAGAGGUUUUGGAGCAGCGUCUUUUGGGAAGAAGGAGGGAUCGGUCAGGACUCCAUGUGGCGCUGGCUGCACACAGAGACUGGGGAGCCCAGCUGGCUGCUGCUUUGCACCCAAACUUGCUGAAGCUCUGAGACAAGCAACAAGAGGCACUCAUGGGGUGUAACUUUCUGCACGCC